UACGGGGGGAGCAAGCGUUGUUCGGAUUUACUGGGCGUAAAGGGCGCGUAGGCGGUCAGCACAAGUCAGUUGUGAAAUCUCCGGGCUUAACUCGGAAAGGUCAACUGAUACUGUGCGACUAGAGUGCAGAAGGGGCAACUGGAAUUCUCGGUGUAGCGUGAAAUGCGUAGAUAAUCGAGAGGAACACCUGCGGCGAAGGCGGGUGCUGGGCUGACACUGACGCUCAUGCACGAAGCGUGGGGAGCAA
rnacentral:rRNA from 1 species